UAAAUAGACCUACGAGGUGGGUGGUGCUUCUCAAACUCAUUGAACUUCUCUCUAUGCCUAAUGUGUCAUUCAAUUGAGCAUAUGUAUAUACCUUGUUGCAUGCAUUUUAGGGUAAAGUAACGAUGAAAACGUAAUGAUGCAUGAUUGUGAGUACAACUUGCAUAAUAUGAUGAAUGAGAACUAUAUGAUGUCGAAAACCCUAUGUGUAUGCAUGAGAGAAAAGUGAGCACCCAAAGUGAGCAAAGAACAGAGUGAC
rnacentral:lncRNA from 1 species